rnacentral:rRNA from 1 species
GACGUAGGGCGCGAGCGUUGUCCGGAUUUAUUGGGCGUAAAGAGCUCGUAGGCGGCUCGUUGCGUCGGCUGUGAAAACCCGCAGCUCAACUGUGGGCCUGCAGCCGAUACGGGCGGGCUGGAGUUCGGUAGGGGAGACUGGAAUUCCUGGUGUAGCGGUGAAAUGCGCAGAUAUCAGGGAGGAACACCGGUGGCGAAGGCGGGUCUCUGGGCCGGUACUGACACUGAGGAGCGAAAGCGUGGGUAGCAAACAGG